CGUAGCUCUGUUGUAUCCACAACCAGAGGGCGAAAACGCUUUUAUCAAGUAUCACGUAAAUGGCCUGUCAAAUAUUUUAAAAUUAUUUUCUAAUGCUUGCUAUUAAAAAUGUGCUAUUAAACUUUAAAUAUAUGUCAACUUAUUUUGAGAUAUCAAAUAUAAAAAAACUCAAGCCCAUAAAGUCUUCAUUAAAAAAGUUCCAAACUUUAAAUAAGGGGCCUGAUUGGUCUUACUUAGAUGGAAGACCAACACCAUUAAAUGGGGGACAAUAUAGAAGAAAAAUUGCUGAAAUUGAAAUGAGUAAGACAAUUGUAAAAUUAAAUGAAGAAAUUGAAAAUACCUUAAAAAUGCAUAAUGAACAGGAAAUGAAUAUUAGCUUAGAACGAGAAAGGAUUAGAAAUAAUAAAUUAAAACCAAAAGGCUGAUUAAUAUCAUGGAUAUAUUUUUAUUUAAAAUAAGAUGCAUAUUGUUAAGUUUGCUCAUAAAUUAUAUAUGGAUUUUUGUCAUUUUAUUAUAGUUUACAAUAUAUGAAUAACUAAGAGUGUUUAUUAAAAUAAUAUAAACAUCUUAUAAUUAAACAAAAGUAAAAUAAAU